rnacentral:pre_miRNA from 1 species
AAUAAACCAAUUUUUUACUUUUUACCUUUAAUUUUUAACUCUUCGUCUUAUCUAACAAAUUUUUACGAUUGAUAUUUUUUUAUUAGAUAAUAAAUCAUAAAUAGUACUUUACAUGUGACUAAUUUUUUUCUAAUUUCCUAAAAUUUUUUUAAAUAAGACGAAUGGUCAAACGUCGGACAUAAAAACCGGAG